UACUCAAAAAUCCCAAAUUGAGGGAAUCAAAUCCCUAAUCGGAAAUCAGCCGUCCGUUCUCUCUACUCAGCGUCGGCCGGUCACUACUCCGGUCGGCGUCUACCUCAAGCCGUCGGAAGACCGUUCCUCCUUCUCAUUCUCCCUCUCUCUCUUUCUCUCUGCUGCAUCGCAGCGGUGUAGCUCCACCGCCAGCCGCCAGCUCUGGAGCGACGACGAGCCGGCGUCACCUCCGUCACACAGCCAGCGCUGCUGUCUCGACACCCCUUCGCCGUUUACUGCUGCUGCGCCGGGACUAGCCCGUCGAGCAGUUCGAGCUCACGGAGCUUCUUUCCGUCGUCGUUCAGAGUCUCCGAUGGCUCCUUCCUAAGCUAAGUCUUCCUAUCUUAGCUAUUUAGGUGGUUUCUUUAGGCAAAGUCUGUUCUUGUUUCAUAGUUUUAGAUUUAGGCAGAUUGUAGCUGCUCUUCGAAGAAAUCGGCAGAUUGGAUAAUCUGGACUUUUGGCUUACAGUUUUGAACUUAUUUCUUACUGAUUGUGAGGGGUUAACAUUACUUUAAGGAACUUGUGUACACGUAGUGGUUUCUAUGUUUUGAGUGUUGAGCACUUCUUAGCUACUAAGUUUGAGACAGAAGGAAGCAGUAUGUUGUUUCUCUUGUGUCUUUAUGAAGUAAAGCUCUAACCAUGUUUGUGCUUGGUUACACAAAUAGGAUAUACAUAUCAGCUCCACUUAGUCAAAUAGGCUACUUCCCUCAUACAGGUACCUACCAUGAUAUAAAUUGGGCCAACAGGAGAGGCCCAACUUUCACAUAUUUAUGUACACUAACAUUUGUAAAUCAUGGAUGCUUAAUACGUAUAAAAACAAUUCUUAUUAAAGCCAUAGUCAACACUUGUAUUCUCUUAUGUUAGUGUAUUUUAUUUAAUACGAAGAAAUAAACACGAAUUCAUUUUAGUUCA